rnacentral:rRNA from 1 species
UACAGAGGUCUCAAGCGUUGUUCGGAUUCAUUGGGCGUAAAGGGUGCGUAGGCGGCGCGGUAAGUCGGGUGUGAAAUCUCGGAGCUUAACUCCGAAACUGCAUUCGAUACUGCCGUGCUUGAGGACUGGAGAGGAGACUGGAAUUUACGGUGUAGCGGUGAAAUGCGUAGAUAUCGUAAGGAAGACCAGUGGCGAAGGCGGCUGCCUGGGGCUUUGCUGACGCUGAUGCGCGAAAGCGUGGGGAGCGAUCCGG